GUGGAGAAAACCAUAACCAUACCAAGCACAGAAUUAGGAAAUAACUGAAUGCUGAACUUAUUAUACAUGGACAAAAAAAGGUUGUCAUUCACAUGGAUCUAGUCCGGGUGGAGGCCAGCAACGUGAAAGGUGCACGAUGGGUGGCUCCCUGGGAAAGGAGCCUGCAGUGUCUGGCACUGAACAUGCUUGGCAUCGAAUGCUUCUUAAGCAGAUGAAGACAAUAGAAUAUUCUCUUUUUUAUUCUUUAGUUAUUGAUUUGAAACAGUAUCUCUUGGCUGGACUUGAGCUCCUGAUCUGGCUGCUUCUAUCCUGGGAAUACAGGCAUCCAUCAACAUGCUGGAUUGGGACAGUGCCGGUUUACUAUAAUUAACAAACACAAAUUUUUUCCUCAUUGUCUGCAACUAUGUCAA
rnacentral:lncRNA from 1 species